AUUGAACGCUGGCGGCAGGCCUAACACAUGCAAGUCGAGCGGUUGACGGGAGCUUGCUCCCUGAUUCAGCGGCGGACGGGUGAGUAAUGCCUAGGAAUCUGCCUAUUAGUGGGGGACAACGUUUCGAAAGGAACGCUAAUACUGCAUACGUCCUACGGGAGAAAGCAGGGGACCUUCGGGCCUUGCGCUAAUAGAUGAGCCUAGGUCGGAUUAGCUAGUUGGUGAGGUAAUGGCUCACCAAGGCGACGAUCCGUAACUGGUCUGAGAGGAUGAUCAGUCACACUGGAACUGAGACACGGUCCAGACUCCUACGGGAGGCAGCAGUGGGGAAUAUUGGACAAUGGGCGAAAGCCUGAUCCAGCCAUGCCGCGUGUGUGAAGAAGGUCUUCGGAUUGUAAAGCACUUUAAGUUGGGAGGAAGGGUUGUAGAUUAAUACUCUGCAAUUUUGACGUUACCGACAGAAUAAGCACCGGCUAACUCUGUGCCAGCAGCCGCGGUAACAC
rnacentral:rRNA from 1 species